rnacentral:rRNA from 1 species
GGUGAAUGCUGGCGGCGUGGAUAAGACAUGCAAGUCGAACGCUAAUUGCGGAGUAGCAAUAUUUCGUAGUUGGAGUGGCGCAAGGGUGCGUAACACGUGGGUAAUUUGCCGUGAAGCUCGGAAUAACUCGCUGAAAGGCGAGCUAAUACCGGAUGUGAUAUUUGGGAGGCAUCUCCUAAAUCUUAAAGCUGGGGACCGUAAGGCCUGGCACUUCACGAUAAGCCCGCGGCCUAUCAGCUAGUUGGUGAGGUAACGGCUCACCAAGGCUAAGACGGGUAGCUGGUCUGAGAGGACGACCAGUCACACUGGAACUGAGACACGGUCCAGACACCUACGGGUGGCAGCAGUCGAGAAUUUUUCUCAAUGGGCGAAAGCCUGAAGGAGCGACGCCGUGUGGGGGGAUGAAUGGCUUCGGCCGUAAACCCCUGUCAUUUGCGAACAAACCCCGAUAUUCAAAAGAUACCGGGCUGAUUGUAGCGAAAGAGGAAGGGACGGGCUAACUCUGUGCCAGCAG